GGCUCAGAUUGAACGCUGGCGGCAUGCUUUACACAUGCAAGUCGAACGGUAACAGGUUAAGCUGACGAGUGGCGAACGGGUGAGUAAUGCAUCGGAACGUGCCCAGUCGUGGGGGAUAACGCAGCGAAAGCUGCGCUAAUACCGCAUACGCCCUGAGGGGGAAAGCGGGGGACCGUAAGGCCUCGCGCGAUUAGAGCGGCCGAUAUCUGAUUAGCUUGUUGGUGGGGUAAAAGCCCACCAAGGCGACGAUCAGUAGCUGGUCUGAGAGGACGAUCAGCCACACUGGGACUGAGACACGGCCCAGACUCCUACGGGAGGCAGCAGUGGGGAAUUUUGGACAAUGGGGGCAACCCUGAUCCAGCAAUGCCGCGUGAGUGAAGAAGGCCUUCGGGUUGUAAAGCUCUUUUGUCAGGGAAGAAACAGCAGCUCUAACACAGUCUGCGAAUGACGGUACCUGAAGAAUAAGCACCGGCUAACUACGUG
rnacentral:rRNA from 1 species